rnacentral:rRNA from 1 species
UACGUAGGGGGCAAGCGUUGUCCGGAUUUAUUGGGCGUAAAGAGCGUGUAGGCGGUUUGGUAGGUCCGCUGUGAAAACUCGAGGCUCAACCUCGAGACGCCGGUGGAAACCAUCAGGCUAGAGUCCGGAAGAGGAGAGUGGAAUUCCUGGUGUAGCGGUGAAAUGCGCAGAUAUCAGGAAGAACACCAGUGGCGAAGGCGGCUCACUGGCCCGGUACUGACGCUGAGGUGCGAAAGCGUGGGGAGCAAACAGG